rnacentral:rRNA from 1 species
GAUGAACGCUGGCUACAGGCUUAACACAUGCAAGUCGAGGGGAAACGACGGGGAAGCUUGCUUCCCCGGGCGUCGACCGGCGCACGGGUGAGUAACGCGUAUCCAACCUGCCUCUGACUGAGGGAUAACCCGUCGAAAGUCGGCCUAAUACCUCAUGGCAUCGUCUGCGGGCAUCCAACGACGAUUAAAGAUUUCAUCGGUCAGGGAUGGGGAUGCGUCUGAUUAGCUAGUUGGCGGGGUAACGGCCCACCAAGGCGACGAUCAGUAGGGGUUCUGAGAGGAAGGUCCCCCAGAUUGGAACGGAGACACGGUCUAAACUCCUACGGAUGGCAGCAGUGAGGAAUACUGUGCAGUGGGCGAGAGCCUGAACCAGCCAAGUAGCGUGCAGGAUGACGGCCCUAUGGGUAGUAACCUGCUUUUAUGCGGGGAUAAAGUGAGGGACGGGUCCUUCAUUGAAGGUACCGCAUGAAUAAGGACCGGCUAAUUCCGUG